UGAUUGAUAUCAUUGCGUGCUGAUUAGUGUUGCAAUCAAAGACCCCCAAAUUGGUGCUGUCAUUCUGCCGUAUUUAUAUUCCUAAGACCUCAAUCAAUCCCCACCACAACUCCUCCCUUCUCUUUCAUUUUAGUAGUUGACCAUUUAGCUUUCUAAAUUUACUCUUGGGAAGAUCGUUUUUGUUCCGUUGGUAUCAACUAUCAAGCAUGGAAGAUCGCAAAGAGAAAAACGCUCCAUGGCUAUCGGUACCUCAGUUUGGGGACUGGGACCAAAAGGGACAGCUCCCAGAUUACUCUUUAGACUUUUCAAAAAUCAGGGAAAUGAGGAAGCAAAACAAGAGGGAUGUUUCAAGAGCCAGUCUUGGAAAUGAAAAUGACUUCAUUAACCCAACCGCCACCAACAAUCACUCCCCAUCUGUAAGAUUCCCCCUC